rnacentral:rRNA from 1 species
AGUGAACGCUGGCGGUAGGCCUAACACAUGCAAGUCGAACGGCAGCACAGUAAGAGCUUGCUCUUACGGGUGGCGAGUGGCGGACGGGUGAGGAAUACAUCGGAAUCUACUUUUUCGUGGGGGAUAACGUAGGGAAACUUACGCUAAUACCGCAUACGACCUACGGGUGAAAGCAGGAGAUCUUCUGACCUUGCGCGAUUGAAUGAGCCGAUGUCGGAUUAGCUAGUUGGCGGGGUAAAGGCCCACCAAGGCGACGAUCCGUAGCUGGUCUUAGAGGAUGAUCAGCCACACUGGAGCUGAGACACGGUCAAGGCUCCUAAGGGAGGCAGCAGUGGGGAAUAUUGGACAAUGGGGGCAAGCCUGAUCCAGCCAUAGCGCGUGGGUGAAGAAGGCCUUCGGGUUGGAAAGCCCUUUUGUUGGGAAAGAAAAGCAGCAGGUUAAUACCCAGCUGUUCUGACGGUACCCAAAGAAUAAGCACCGGCUAACUUCGUG